UGGUUCUGGUUUCCACACAUCCCGGUCCGCAAACACCUGGCCGUCCAAGGUGCAGCUGGUACUCGUGCCUGCAGGGAGUGACAUGGAGGGUCUCAGCAGCCGUCCAGCCACGAAGACAAAAUCCAACCUUCAGAAAAACACUUAAAAAAAAAGG